AANAUUUAUCGGCUUAAGAUGAGCCCGCGUUGGAUUAGCUGGUUGGUGGGGUAAAGGCCUACCAAGGCGACGAUCCAUAGCUGGUCUGAGAGGAUGAUCAGCCACACUGGGACUGAGACACGGCCCAGACUCCUACGGGAGGCAGCAGUGGGGAAUAUUGGACAAUGGGCGCAAGCCUGAUCCAGCCAUGCCGCGUGAGUGAAGAAGGCCUUAGGGUUGUAAAGCUCUUUCACCGGUGAAGAUAAUGACGGUAGCCGGAGAAGAAGCCCCGGCUAACUUCGUGCCAGCAGCCGCGGUAAUACGAAGGGGGCUAGCGUUGUUCGGAUUUACUGGGCGUAAAGCGCGCGUAGGCGGAUAGAUAAGUCAGAGGUGAAAUCCCGGGGCUCAACCCCGGAAUUGCCUUUGAUACUGUUUAUCUUGAGUGCAGAAGAGGUAAGUGGAAUUCCGAGUGUAGAGGUGAAAUUCGUAGAUAUUCGGAGGAACACCAGUGGCGAAGGCGGCUU
rnacentral:rRNA from 2 species